AUGAACGCUGGCGGCGUGCUUAACACAUGCAAGUCGGACGAGAAAGGCUGAUUUCGGUUGGCCGAGUAAAGUGGCGCACGGGUGAGUAACGCGUAGGCAACCUACCCNUUGUAUUGGGGAUAACCCUGCGAAAGUGGGGCUAAUACCGGAUGAGACCCUAUUCUGGAGGGGAUAGGGUGAAAGUCGGCCGCUCGGAGAAGCUGACGUACGAGGAUGGGCCUGCGUCCUAUCAGCUGGUUGGUGGGGUAGCGGCCUACCAAGGCGACGACGGGUAGCUGGUCUGAGAGGAUGAUCAGCCACACUGGCACUGGAACACGGGCCAGACUCCUACGGGAGGCAGCAGUGAGGAAUUUUGCGCAAUGGCCGCAAGGCUGACGCAGCAACGCCGCGUGGGUGAUGAAGGCCUUCGGGUCGUAAAGCCCUGUCAGGUGGGAAGAAAGGCCUUAAGGAGAAAGACUUGAGGUUUGACGGUACCACCAGAGGAAGCACCGGCUAACUCCGUGCCAGCAGCCGCGGUAAUACGGAGGGUGCGAGCGUUAUUCGGAAUUACUGGGCGUAAAGCGCGUGUAGGCGGGGGGACAAGUCUGAUGUGAAAGCCCUGGGCUUAACCUGGGAAGCGCAUUGGAAACUGUUUUUCUUGAGUACUGGAGAGGAAGGGGGAAUUCCCGGUGUAGAGGUGAAAUUCGUAGAGAUCGGGAGGAAUACCAGUGGCGUAGGCGCCCUUCUGGACGGUAACUGACGCUGAGACGCGAAAGCGUGGGGAGCAAACAGGAUUAGAUACCCUGGUAGUCCACGCUGUAAACGAUGAUCACUAGGUGUAGCGGGUACUCAUUCCUGCUGUGCCGCAGCUAACGCGUUAAGUGAUCCGCCUGGGGAUUACGGUCGCAAGACUAAAACUCAAAGGAAUUGACGG
rnacentral:rRNA from 1 species